rnacentral:lncRNA from 13 species
CAGGAGUGAAGUUUAUUAAAAAGCUUUAGAACAGUAAGGAAAGGAAGAAAAGGAAAGAAAAAAAUAAAAGUAAUUCUCAGAAGAGGAACAAGGGGGUGACUUGAGAAAUCAAGUACACAGCUUGACCUCUUGACUUGGGGUUUUAUAGGUUGACAUACCUCUGGGAUCUUGUCUUCUCCCCACUCCUGAGGUCUUGUUGGGAAGCUGCUGAUCAGUUUCAGGUGUUUUCUAUCUUCAGGAGAUGGCUUUUCCCUGGUGCCGGCUGUGACCAAUUACUUUAAACAGUUAACAACUGCCUGAUCGUCAUCUGAUGGAUGCCCAACACUCCUGGUGUGUGGGGGAGCCCUCUCCUGCCCUGCUCAGACCUGACUAGCUGCCUACUAUAGCAGUAACUGCCUCAUGGAGCAAGAAAGAAAACAAGCCAGUUUUGUGAGCUUUUUACUGAGGCUCCAGAUUUCAAGAGCAAAACAAAAGCUGCCGAACUGAAGUGCUAGACAACCUAUUCUGGGUAGAAUAUUGUGAUGGGUGCUGUACAAGAAGAAGGAAGCUGAGUGUGAAGCAAAGACACCUUCAGGGAUACAUAGAACCAGGCAUUUGCUGCAGGACACCUGGAUUGCACAACCAGUGGCUAACUUGCAUGAAAAAACAUACCUGGUAAGUUCCAUAAAGGAUUCAGAAAGGGGUGCCAAGAAAUGUUAAGUACCUAGAUAGGGGCAUAGAUCUACUCAAGGACUGAGUUUUGCCAUCCCAGUUAUAAAAAAAGGGAACAUCUAGGUGGACUGAAAUCAGAGCUUUGAAGGGCAGGUGGAAUAGAAAACUUAGUAUGAGGCUCUUUGAAGAGAGAGAUUCAAGUGAU